CCCGUGCUACAACCGCACAGCACAGGUUCACAAGCUCUUAUCCUUGUAUAAGACACCUGAGUCUGGCGAGUCUUAGUUAUUGA
rfam:Bacillus sp. VT-16-64 NODE_254, whole genome shotgun sequence.